GGCUCCAUGGUCAAGCGGUCAAGACAUCGCCCUUUCACGGCGGUAACCCGGGUUCGAUUCCCGGUGGAGUCAC
rnacentral:tRNA from 2 species